UACGGAGGGUGCGAGCGUUGUCCGGAAUCAUUGGGCGUAAAGGGCGCGUAGGUGGCUCGCCAAGCGGGCGGUGAAAGCCUGGGGCUCAACCCCGGGUCGGCCGUGCGAACUGGCGAGCUGGAGCACUGUAGAGGCAGGCGGAAUUCCGGGUGUAGCGGUGGAAUGCGUAGAGAUCCGGAAGAACACCGGUGGCGAAGGCGGCCUGCUGGGCAGUGGCUGACACUGAGGCGCGACAGCGUGGGGAGCAAACGGG
rnacentral:rRNA from 1 species